rnacentral:lncRNA from 1 species
AUGGAGUGCAGCUUUAAAUGCCAGCUCUGCCUCGACACAUUUAGAAGGCUGGGCUAUUACAAGAGGCACAUAUUAUCAGAUGUACAUCACCAGAAACUGAAAAACCUUUUCCCAAAUGAUAAGUUUCAGAAUGCUGCCAAAGGUGUACCCCAUAUCAUUUUUGCGGAUCCAGAAAAAAAGAAUUGCUUCAAACAUCCCAUUGUGGGCUUGUCUGCGCUGACUCUGUGUUUCAGUCCACAGUCAUGGUCUUCGUUUUACUUGUGUCACAUCUGUGCCGAGAAGCAUUUACCUAGUGAUGUUUUAAGGCACUUCUUUUCUAUGGACCAUUACAGCAACUACAUUAAUUGCAUGGAUCCCAAUGCAAUGAGUUUCUCCUGGAUCCCCAGCAAGCAAAUGAAAGAGACUGAACUCAAAAACAGAGUAAAAGAAGAAGGGCCUAUGGACUUGCAGAUGCUGCAUUUACCUGAUCAUCUUAUGGAAAAGCUAAUAACCUGCACCUACUCAGAAGUGAUGCUCACUCUAGGUGAAAAUGAGAAGCUUCUCAAGCUGAUUCAAGCUUUCAAGCCAGAGAGGAAGACGAUCCUGGCUUACCAAAAAGACAGCAACAGGAAGCAUCCGCUUCUUGGCAUGCAGCACCUCGUCGAGUGCAUUUGUGUCGGAGCAGAGGAGGAGAAGUAUUACCUCUGCACGCUCUGUGGCCUUACAGUGGCCGCCCACGUGAUCAUCAAACACAUCCUGAGCUUUGACCACAUCUUUUGGUAUUUUAAAGAGUGGCAUCCCUCUACAUUGAUGUCAAAAGAGUGCUACACAGACUACACGCCCUCCUUUGAAUCCAUGAUGCUUGACUUGGCAAAGCAGACGGAGAAGAUUCAUGGAGAAAAUGAUUUGAAACGAGUGAGCCUGGAGCCUGCUGAAUUCAAGUCCAUAAACUUUAAUAGCUACCCAGAAGCUUUGACGACCCUGAACUUGAUCAAGAAGUGCAGCUUGAAACCAGCCAUCAAACCAGGGAAGAAGCUGGAGUAUCAUGCUGUCAAAAAUCAGUCAGCACCUGCAAGCGAACCUUCAAAGCUGCUCACAUACUACCCAAGAUGUAAACUGCUGUGUCAGGACUGCCGUGUGACGUUGAAAAGCAUAUCUCAAUAUCUCAAUCAUCUGUCAAAACCAAUACACAAGGAGAUCUUGUGGAAACUCUUUGAAGAAGGAUCUGAAGGCUAUGAGAAAAAAGCUCAGUUUUUCCUUCACUUACACUCGUAUGUCAUGGAGUGCUUCAAGAAAAAACAGCCAGUCAUUGGUACAUCCUUGAUUGUGUCCUGCAUUACCACAGAAGCUCAGGCAGAGCCUUUUUACAUAUGCUUUGCUUGUCAGGAGUGUGUCUGUCAGUCCUUGAUCGAGCCACACUUAAACUCCCGAAAACAUGUUGUACACACGCUGCUGUUUGAGAAUCCCUGGCGGCUGCCUUUCGGCUGGGAGAAUCUGCAGGAUGAUCAAACACUAAAGUCAAAGGCGUGGGAGGAGGAGAUGGAGAGAAGACCAAAGGAGGUGGUUCUGAAGGUUCUUGAUAUGCCAUGGUCAGUAUUUUACAGGCUCACCCCUCCUACUUUUGAAAAAGUACUGGAGGGACUUGAACAGCAGCGCAAGGUCUUGAAGAAUGAAGUUCCACCUUGUCAAACAUAUAGCAAACUCCAAGGAAAUGAAUCAUUUCCUCUACUUGGCAUCGAGUUCAUCGUGAUGUAUGAUUUAUUUGUCAAAGAACCCAAUUCCCCAGAAGCACAUUUUCUGUGUUUGCUCUGUGAGAGGAGGCUGUCAGAGCACGAAUGCCACGACCAUAUAUUCAGCCGUGAACACGUGGCAAAAUUCCUGGACUGUUUCCACCCAGGCUCACUGGAUUCCAACGCUGAUGCAGAGACACUACUGGACUUGGCAAAACAGGCAGCAACAAUUCACAAUAAAUCUCACAUACAGGCAAUAUAUUUGCAGCGUCCGAUUAAGGAGCCAUACUCCUACUCCCAAGCAACAAGAAUCUUGGAAUGUGUAAAUAGGAAAACUGGGAACAAAAAGCUUAAACCCCAAAUAAAACGUAAUAGAAAACUGGUUCCGAGGAUAACUGUAAAAGAUGAGCAAUGUGUGAGAGUUGUCUGUCAGAAAAACAGCAGCACCAGCAUAGCCGGUGUAGAAGAAAUCAAAAAAGAGCGUGACGAGGAAACACCGACACCAAGUGAAAAUGACUCGGCGUUGAAAAGUGAGGUGGCUUCCAAAACUACUUCAGAAGUGAUGGCGAAUCCAGGUGAGGUGUGUCGGGCGAUAAAGCAGGAGCCAGAAGAGGCUAAAAUAAAAGGAUCAACUGGGGCGAAGCAAGGCUGCCACAACACCAACAAAGAUAAUGGUGCAGAUGCUGGGAUAGAAGAUGGCAGAAGUAGCAAAGAUGUCCCAGCACAGCUGAAGAAUUACAAAGAAAUGGAAAGAAAAAGACAGCACGGUGUGUCUGAAACAUCGCAAGAGGACUCAUGUCCUGCUGAGUGUGUGGGGAGAGAAAUGGGCCCUAAAAGACAGCGUCUGACCUCCAGAGAAGACUCGUGUGAUGAAGCCCCAAAAAUGUCUGAUAUUAGAAUAAAGAAGGAAAAAAAUGAAGAUGAAGCCUGCAAAGCAGCAAUUGACAAAGGUUUUAGCGCCCUGCUUAAAUGCUGCUGUCCUCAGCAUGAGCCGGUCUACCUCUGCGAGUCCUGCUCUUUGAAGAUCUCAGAGAAGGACAUCGUCAGGCAUCUGACUGGAUUUGAUCAUCACAAGCUCCAGCCGGUGGAUGUUUAUGUAAAUGAAGAAGUUUACAGUAAGGUCUCAAAACAAAGCUUUCAAUCGGCUAUAGAGACAGUGAAGGCAUUUCAGACUUCAUCCUCAGCUCCUACCUGCGUAAAACCUGUGGACACUUCAGUCGACCAACAUGAUGACAGUACAAAGGGCAGCAUGAAGGUGGUGAAGAUGGAGAUUGAUGACAAUCAGGAGGAGUCUGCGUUAUUUAAAGGCACCUCUGAGGCAGGACUUGAGUUAUUCCAAUCAACUGAAGAGGACAAAAAGAGUACCAAAGCACCCAAGCCAGCUAGCAAAUUUGUCACUUGUCCAAUUACUCCCAAAAGUGGAGAAAACGUAAGCCCGUGUGUGUCAAAUGCAAGUGGCACAAAGACUGCCUCCAAAGCUGGUAUUACUCCAAACACAAGUGUGGAAUCAAUAAAAAUUGCUUCCAAGCCUGACAUGGAAGAAGUGAGACCGGUUACGUCCAUGUGCACUGCAGCCACUGCUAAAAAUCCUGCAACUUCUUCCCAACGGAUAGGAACUGCCUCCACCUCUAAGGUAUCUGCCUCAAAUGUCAAGUCAACUGCAGAAUCUCCAGCAGUGCGCAGAACUGGAGCUGCAUCGAGAGUGAGGGCUACUUCUUUAAACGGUACACCUCCUCAGACUGAAUCCACAGUGGUGCGAGAGGCUACUUGCAAAACUGCACCUUCCUCCAGAAGUGAAAAGUUUCCAUCUCAUCAGUUAAAAACCAAAGCCACCCCUCAAAUGGCACCUGUGGCUAAAAAGCCCAGAACCUCAGUUAGAUCUGAAAGUGUGGAGACUCCUGCAAAGGCCGUACAUGUGAAGAAUUCAGAGGGGCCAAAUGCACCACAUUGUCAUAAAAGUAACAAACCUGACGCUCCUCAUCAGGCCAAGGGCACAUUUGUCAGGCCUGAACACAAGAAGCCACCCACAGAGCCACCCCAAACCUCUAUGAGUAAUAAGACAAAGCCAAGUGAAGGUCUUCCUAAAAUAGGCUUAAAUGAGCUGAUUGUGGUAUUUUGCGAGGAGAAGCAGCAAGUCUACUGUAAGCUGUGUUCAGUGAAGCUAACCAGUUCCAGUGACUAUCAUCUAAUCAGCUUAGACCACUGGAAAAAAUAUGUGAAAACAAAGUAUCCUGAAUGGACCGCAAAGCCAUCAGAGAUGGAGAAAAAACUGAACGAGAUAGCGAUUCCCUUGACCGAGGCUGAGAGGAGUCUCGGACAUCGCAGACCACAGAUUCUGAAAGUGAAGAAGGACAUGUAUGAAAAGCUGGCACAUCUUCGAGAAGAUGAAGCUGUCAAAUAUGUGAGGUCAAUGAGUAAGAGAAGCUUGCGGCUCUCAUCAACCUCCCCAGCUGAUUCUGCCUCUGCCAGUCCAUGCGACGUUUCAAGCUCAGAUGAUGGGAUAAAUAAAAUGUCAGAACUUUCUACUUACGAAUGUUCAACGGUGGAGAACAAAAACCAGCACCAGGCACUGUUGAUCCAGAAGGAAGAAAUGAGCUCUAACUCAAAAGUGGAAGCGGACCUGACUGCAUGGGAGCCAAUCGGACAGAGCUCGGAAGGUGAAGACAUACAAUCUGAUGACAUGAUUCUAGAUGAGCUUCAAGACGAGGAAAUGGCAGAAAUUGAGGAUUUAGAGGAAGAUGUAGAGGUUCAGACUUGCACUGAAGUUAUGUCUGAAAUACAGAGUCCUGAACUUCAUGGCACUGACUCGGACAUCUUUGCUGAAUCCCCUGGUGGAGGCACUAGCGACCACAGACCAAAGCAGUUGAAGAGCGAAGAAUUUCAGGACACCUGGACAUUGCCAGCAUGCCCACAAACAGCUUUGCCUGUAAAAUUCAGCUGCUCAGAGCCGUUCUCUGUAGCUCCUUCAGCUUAUACAGAAGGGCAGAACCAGCUGAGACCAAGGCAGAAGAUGGACCACGUGUCUAGAGGCAAUCCAGUAUCUGAAGAGCACAGCGCAUCACAGGCAUUCUUAAGAACUCCAACAGAGGGAAGAAAUCAGCGCUCUAGUUCUGACAGCCAUUUGAUCCUAUUCUUGAAAACAAAGGGACUGGAUGCAGAACCAAUUGUUGGUCAGGGUUAUGUGUUGGAGUGCCGCGGGAUUUCUUUGGAAACCAUUUUCUUAUGCACGUGCUGCGAGAAGGUGCUCUCUCACCGUGACGUCUGUCAGCACAUGGUCAGCUCUGACCACCAGUUCGAAUACAUGCGGAAAGAACACCCUGGGUUUCUCCACAAGUUCUGGGAUGAAGACCUGCCUCUGGACAAGAGACUGGGACUCUUAAAGAAAGUUUCCUGGAAGAUUUCAGAGCGGGAGCAGGAUGAAAAACCAAAGGUUACAACGCUGACAAAGGAGUUGCAUGAACGUGUUCAGACAGCUCCAUUCAGUGAAGCUGUAAAAAUGGUGCAAAAUAUGCAUACGGACAAAUCAAAUAAACUGGGCAUGGCGCAGGACAUCGAUAAACACAGUGUCUUGGAACCACAGCACAAGAGUCAGCAGUCUGAUGAGCGGCCAAUUCCAAAUGAGUCUCUUACCACAGAAAUGCAAUCAGCUUAUAGACCUGAGCGAUACCACAGAAGUGACAAUGCUCAACUCACACAGGAGCCUCAGUUAGACAAAACUCAAACAGUUGGUGACUUGGAUGGGUUCAAAGAAAGACAACUCUGGAGUCCUCUUAAUGUGAGCGGCUCCAGCUCGAAGGAUGAUCCUGUUGCCUCGCUGUUGCCCCGUCCUGGCUCAUGUUUCAGCCCUAAAGAGACCUGCUAUAAGCCUCCCAUGCAAACAAAGCUCACGCCACCAGUCUCUGACUAUCAGCAGCCUGCCCUCUGCUUGCAUGUGAAACAGGAAGAGGCGCACUUGGAACCACCAUGCUCUUCAGCUGCUCAUCCUACUGUCAGCCAAACGCUGUCAGUGCCUCCCAGAGAUCAGUGUCUUCCAUCCAGGAAAAGGCCAGCUGAUACAUCUGUUAAAACUUGCACCGAUAACCCGCUUGACGACACUUUGCUAUACAAAAAUGAUAUAGACUGGAAUCUCUGUGUACACCUGAUUAGUGAACUGAGAAAUGCUAGAAUGAAAGCUCUAGAUGCUGUUGAGACUUUGGACUCGUCUGCUGCCAGUUCAUCUGAAAGUGUGGAAAAUAGAUUGAAUUUGCAUACAGUGACAAAAACUCCAACUUCCUCUGCCUCAUUUAAAAGCAUGCCUCUGACAGGAAACCCUGCUAAUGCAGGUAGUGAAAACCAACCUGUCAGUCUGAGUGGAAGCUCAGAAGGCACUUCAUCUUCUCUGGACCAUUUGAUGACUGGAAAUCCUUUUCAAGUUGAAGCUGCAUCUGGUGCAAGGCCUACUACCGCCACUGUUGAGACCAAAGACCCACAGCAUCCACAAGCUGUCACUGAUCAAAAUGCCUUUGAAAAGUUCAGCCCUGUUUUCUUUACAGACACCAGCCUUAACCCAGGACAGAUCCCUCAGCCACAUGCUGACUCAGAGGCUGAGAGCUCUGGAGUUGACCAGUUGCCCAUCAGUACCAUUGUAACCGAGAGGCCGAAGUUUAUGGGACACUAUACAGAACAGCACCACACCGAGGUGAACAGCAGCCAUCAGGGCAGUUUCCCUACAAUUUCUGGUGACAACCCCACUGCGUUUUUGGUGCCUUCAGCCGGAUACGACUCAUACAGCCAACUGGCUUAUGUCGCAAGUUCACAUCCAGGGUACGCACCGCCUCAGGCCGUAUUAAGUUACACAACAGGAGAAAACCCUCAAGUUUAUACUGGAGCUUUAAACCCAAGUGAAGGAUACACUGCAGCGACAAUCUACCCGGCAAAUUUUUGUCCACAGCUGGCCAUCAGCCAUUCAAGUUUGCAGUUAUUUGGGCAAGCUGCGGUGAUGAUGCAAUACUACCCGUCAGUGACGAGGAGAUAAGUGACUGGUUUUUGGUUUUUGUACAAAAAAAUGUUGCUGUGCGUUUUGACAUUUGAUUUUUGUCAUACUUUUUUGGUUUGGUAAUAAAAAAAGAAUUAAUGACAUAUUAUAAAUUACUUUUAUUCUUUCAAAGUAAUGUUUAAAUGGAUAGUUUAACAUGCAUUUUAAAAAAAAAAAAAAAAAAAAAAAAAAAAAAUCAUUAUCUUAUACUUUAUAGUUGGGCGCUAGCUAUCAUUAGCAUUUGGAAAACCUGAGGUGCAAAUUGACACUUUCACUGCCUUUUUCUCAGUAUUUGUGUUCUCACUUGCACUGCUGUACAGCACAUGUCCUGAUCACAUUUUAAGAAGCUAGAUUUAGCCUGUUGAAAUUCUUGUUUUGUUUUUUGUUCUGUGGUUCAUUUUGAGUAAAGCGCACAGAUUUUCUGUGCAAGUAGCAAAAAGUUAUGUUUAAAACUGUUUGUAUUCAGUAUGAAGGGAGUGUCAAAAUCUUGGGAAAUCCCAUUUAUUUGUAGCUUGUUUUUAAAUCUGAUAAUAGCAGUUUUUAUAUAAAUUUGUAGGUUUUUAUGUUUUGUUGUCUGAUUUUGAUUAAAAAACAAAAAAAAAUGUGUUUGUUUGUAUUUUUAUUUUUUACCAGUUGGAUGGAUGGAUGGAUGGAUGGAUGGAUGGAUGGAUAAUAGAUUUCAAUUGUCUGAUGAAUAAAAGGGAGGGAAACUUGUACACUAAGGGGAGAUCUGGGUAUGAUUGGGCACAAAGUUUAGAGGGAAGGGAGAGAGACACCUUCUCUAUUUUUAAUAUUAAGCUUUAAACUUUCCUUUUUGAUGGAGUUUAGAGUGAGUCCUGGAUCAGAUGACUGUGAAUCCUCCCAUAGGCAUGCUGCAGUAGGUCUAGCCUGCUUAUCUGCAUGUCUCCCAGAUUGCACCGUUUCUUCUUCACUCACUUAAAAAAAAACAAAAACAAAAAAAACAAAAACAAACCAUUCUGCAUUUUCACUCUCUUGUCCACGGUGUGCCUUUGUCCUCUCUUCCUCCCUUCACUCCCAACAGUAUGCAGCAGGUGGCUGCCCCUUCCUGAACCUGGGUCUGCCACAGGUUUCUUCCUGUUGAGAGGGAGUUUUUCCUUCCUACUUUUGCCAAAGCACUUGCUCAUAAGGGGUCAUCUGAGAUAUUUUCCCAGUAUUAUUGUAGGGUCUUUACCUUAGAAUAUAAACCGCCUUGAGGUAACUCUUGUGAUUUGGUGGACAUAAAGUUGAGGAACUUUUUUUUUUUUUUGUUAAAUGGUAAGAACCUGAACUGGACACUAACUUGUUUUGGCUUCCAGACUGAGCCAUAGCAGAAAGAAGUCUGAGAGCUAUAUCAAAGGAAAGCUGCCUCAGUUAUCUCUGCAGCAGUAGUUUUAGUUUUGUAGUCAUCACAGAUUUUAUUAUGCACUUUAAACUUUUAAAAGGCUAUUCCAUUCUUAAAAGUGGCAGAUCUCUGGGAGAAAAUGCCUUGUUGGGACAUAAAGGUCAUAAGUGAAUGCCAACAGUAACUUGCAUAACCCUGGUUUUAACCAAGGUAUGUAGAAGAGUAUCUCUGAAGGCACGACAUGUGGAGAUUUAAAAACAGAUGCGCUACAGGAGCUGAAGAUCUCACUGGAUGUCAUGCCUGUCAGCUCAGAACAGGAAACGGAGACCAUUGACCACAGUGUACUGAUCUUCUGAAGUCUGCUUCCAGUAUGAUAACACACCAUGUAACAAAGCUUUUGCUCUAUUGCCCUGCUAUUAACAGCGUUGGUGCCUAAUGAGUAUGUCAGGAAGUAAGCAUUCUGUAUCUGAGGUAGAGCAGGCAGGUUUUUGACUGGUGAUGUUAUGUGUACCCACAGACGUUGACAUAGAUCAUGUAAACUGUGUAGGGACUUGUGAAAAGACACCUUUUUUUUUUUUUCCUGGAAAGUGUACAAACGCCAGAUAUUAAAACUUUAUACCUACAUGACAGGUUGGAAAUGUUAGGGGAACAUACACCGUUAAAAAAUAAAUAUAUUAAAAAACAAAUCAAUAGAAGACAUUAACUUACCUUUUGGUUUUGAUGUUACUUUGAAUCCAGCAUUCACAUGGGUUAUGAUUUUGGUUCUGUGUAAUUUAAAUGUUCCCUUAAUAUUUCUAUUUAAUUUUUUAGAGUAGAGAGUGUGUUGGGUUCAAAAUAUUGGGAAGAAAAUACAGGAGGAAUGCAAGUAACCACACUGGUCCAAAAGAUGAGUUCAAGCGAUGAUUUUAAUGAAAAACACACGCGUGGGAGACACACCCUGCAGAACAUCAAAGGUGGAUCUCUCAGACAAUGAACAAACCAAAGGUUUUUAUAGGGUCGGGUUAAUACAUCACCCCUUCAUGCAUUAAGCAGAUACAAUACUUGCAUACGUCAAAUCAAAACCACAGACCCCCAGUUAACUUUUUGACCCAUUUUAAAAGAACAUUAGCUUCCAUCUUCCUCCAGGUGCAGUCCCCGCAACCACAGCCCUAACAUAGCUGUUAGACAUCCUGUACUUUCAUCAAACCGUCACAUACACCCACAGAAAAACUGCAACCCUAGCAAAACAUGCUUAAACUUUCACCUACAAAAAUGAACUCACUACUAUAUCUGUGUACGUGUAGGUGUGUGUAUGUCUGUGCAUGUGUUACUCUCGCCUUGCACCUUAUUUGACCUCUCUGCUUAUGCAACCAGGCUGAGGCCAUCCUGUGUGUGAUGAUCUUAAUUUGUAUGUAAAAUGUAUAAAAAUUUAUUAAACAAAUGUUUCAACCUAAUACCACUACUUAGAACUUAAUAAAAGGUAUACAUAGAUAAAAAUAAUAAAAAGAAGAGAAUACAAAUGUAUUGUAAGCGUGUGCAAUCCUUCAAUAACUCAGGUCAUCCUCACAGUAGAUUGGCUAACCAAAAGCUUGUAACCCUCAAGAGACGACUUCUUGAGUCACAACUCCUUUAAAGACACAAAAAUGCAAUAUGUGUAAAAUAAUCAUAGGUGCACUUGCAAUGACAAAUCAUCAUAUAAUUAUACUGGCACCUGUAAAUAAAGUAAAUAAAAGUUAACCUGAAAUGAAUGCAAACUUUAAGGUAAUAUCAAUAAAUGCAUCAAUGCAAAUGCUUGUUAUGUGAUUAUGAUGCAAUAGCAAUAACAAAAUAAUGAAACUGGAAAUAGUAAAAUGAACUGAUAAAAAUGGCAGGAAAAGUAACACCUCAUUUCCUCACAAGCGUCAAAGCACUUUGAGACCAUUCUGAAACUGCAUUUUCUUUCCGCUACAGUAACACUAAAGCUAACGCUGUAGAUGACGACCCAGAAUGUGGAAUUAAACUGAAGGCUGAAUUUCUUUCUUGUGCAUACUUUAAGCAGAUGAACAGGACUGUGACAACUGUGCUUAAUACAUUCAGGUUUAUCCACUUGUCCCCCUGUGGUUUUGUUUAUAUUGAAAAUGUGAGUUAUUUCUGCGUGGUAGAUCCCACAGCGUGGGAAAGAGGGAAGGUCCACAUGUCUGAGGCAUAUUGGGGGGGUUUUUCUUCAGCUUGUGACUGGCCUCCCCCACAUGUGAGGUAUUUGUUGGAAUUUUCAGGUCAAACAAGGCCAGACCUUGGAGAACUUCACAGUACCUACUUCCUCAUAAAUCAUGCACAGUUAUAGCAACUUGGAAAAAAAACCUGCUAAAUGAUGACUCAGGAGUGAGAUAGUGGGGUCUUACAGGUCAGAG